ACGGGAGGCAGCAGUGAGGAAUAUUGCACAAUGGGGGAAACCCUGAUGCAGCGACGCCGCGUGAGUGAAGAAGUAUUUCGGUAUGUAAAGCUCUAUCAGCAGGGAAGAAAAUGACGGUACCUGACUAAGAAGCCCCGGCUAACUACGUGCCAGCAGCCGCGGUAAUACGUAGGGGGCAAGCGUUAUCCGGAUUUACUGGGUGUAAAGGGAGCGUAGACGGCAAGACAAGUCUGGAGUGAAAUUCCGGGGCUCAACCCCGGAACUGCUUUGGAAACUGUUUAGCUGGAGUAUCGGAGAGGUAAGCGGAAUUCCUAGUGUAGCGGUGAAAUGCGUAGAUAUUAGGAGGAACACCAGUGGCGAAGGCGGCUUACUGGACUGUAACUGACGUUGAGGCUCGAAAGCGUGGGGAGCAAACAGGAUUAGAUACCCUGGUA
rnacentral:rRNA from 1 species